rnacentral:rRNA from 1 species
AUUGAACGCUGGCGGCAUGGCUAAAGCAUGCAAGUCGUACGAGACCCUCGCAAGAGGGAAAAGUGGCGGAAGGGCGAGUAAUGCGCUCCUACGUGCCCCAAGGUGGGGGAUAGGUCGGGGAAACCCGGCGUAAUACCCCAUGUGCUCUUCGGAGGAAAGCUUUUGCGCCUCGGGAGCGGGGAGCGUCCUAUCAGGUAGUUGGCGGGGUAACGGCCCACCAAGCCAAUGACGGGUAGCGGGUGUGAGAGCACGACCCGCCGCAUCGGGACUGAGACACUGCCCGGACUCCUACGGGAGGCUGCAGCGACGAAUAUUCCGCAAUGC